ensembl:snRNA U6 U6 spliceosomal RNA
GUGCUUGCUGCAGUAGCACAUACACUAAAACAUGAAGGACACAUAGAACAUCAUCAUGGCCCCCAUGCAAGCCAAUACACAUAUGCAUGAAGCCACACACAUCUUA